UACAGAGGUCUCAAGCGUUGUUCGGAUUCAUUGGGCGUAAAGGGUGCGUAGGUGGCUUGUUAAGUUGAAGGUGAAAUCUCGGGGCUCAACUCCGAAACUGCCUUCAAUACUGGCGAGCUCGAGGACUGUAGAGGAGAAUGGAAUUCACGGUGUAGCAGUGAAAUGCGUAGAUAUCGUGAGGAAGACCAGUGGCGAAGGCGAUUCUCUGGGCAGUUCCUGACGCUGAGGCACGAAGGCCAGGGGAGCAAACGGG
rnacentral:rRNA from 1 species